GACGAACGCUGGCGGCGUGCUUAACACAUGCAAGUCGAACGGAAAGGCCCUGCUUUUGUGGGGUGCUCGAGUGGCGAACGGGUGAGUCACACGUGAGUAACCUGCCCUUUACUUUGGGAUAACUUCAGGAAACUGGGGCUAAUACCGGAUAGGAGCUCCUGCUGCAUGGUGGGGGUUGGAUAGUUUCGGCGGUUGGGGAUGGACUCGCGGCUUAUCAGCUUGUUGGUGGGGUAGUGGCUUACCAAGGCUUUGACGGGUAGCCGGCCUGAGAGGGUGACCGGCCACAUUGGGACUGAGAUACGGCCCAGACUCCUACGGGAGGCAGCAGUGGGGAAUAUUGCACAAUGGGCGGAAGCCUGAUGCAGCAACGCCGCGUGCGGGAUGACGGCCUUCGGGUUGUAAACCGCUUUCGCCUGUGACGAAGCGUGAGUGACGGUAAUGGGUAAAGAAGCACCGGCUAACUACGUG
rnacentral:rRNA from 1 species